UCGCCUGUUUAUCAAAAACAUCUCUUCUUGAAUUAUUUAGGAAGUAUGACCUGCCCAAUGAUUAUAUUUAAUGGCCGCGGUACCUUGACCGUGCAAAGGUAGCAUAAUCAUUAGUCUUUUAAUUGGAGGCUGGAAUGAAUGGUUGGACGAGAUAAGUACUUUCUUAUCCUUAAGAAUUGAACUUAAUUAUUGAGUUAAAAAGCUUAAAUUUUUUUAUGGGACGAGAAGACCCUAUAGAGUUUAAUAAUUAUAAAUUGAUAAUAAUAUGUAGUGGAAUUUUAAUUAGUAAUUAUUUUGUUGGGGUGAUGAAAAGAUAAAUAUAACUCUUUUUUAUUGUUAAUAUUGAUUUAUAGGCUUUUGAUCCAUUAUUAAUGAUUAGAAGACUAAAUUACCUUAGGGAUAACAGCGUAAUCUUUUCUGAGAGUUCUAAUCGAAGAUAAGGAUUGCGACCUCGAUGUUGGAUUAAAGAUUAGAACUAGGUGUAGCAGCUUAAGUUCUAGGUCUGUUCGACCUUUAAAUUCUUACAUGAUCUGAGUUCAAACCGGAGA
rnacentral:rRNA from 1 species